GUUGGAAACACCAAAAUGCGCAUGCUUCAGCGACACCGCAGGUGUCGAGUCGCACUUGGCAUUCAUCGGUCGAAUAAGUCAUUGAUGAUGACUGCCGGAGAAUAAUAACGAGUGCUCGGAACUCUCUGAUGGUUAAUAUUAAUUUAUCCGCUUCACGCUCGAACCUUUGAUUGGACCUCGGAUUUUCCGAGCCGUUUCAACCUGAAGUUGUCCGCAGAAGCCGGACAGAUUUAAUAAAGUGUAAUUUAUUGGGUUGGUCAAAAACAAAAAAACAAUUCCAACAACGAUUUCAUAUCCUCAUCAGCAGUAAAGGUUUUACCAUUCAAGGCGUUUUGCAAAGAACGAAACAAAUGAGAUCGCAGCCACAAAUCAGUCUUUGUGAUGGUCGAGGGUGACAUUUGGGCGGACACGGAGGUAGUUGUGGCCUUGCCUCACAACAGCAGGGUGCAUAGGGGUCCUGCGGACGCGAGGGUAAAAUGAGUUCAAAGAAAAGUAGAGGGUCGUAUGGACAGAGCGACACGAAAAGAAAUCGUGAGAAAAAAGGAGAUGUUUUCAAUAUUAUAACAUGUUCGCUACAUGCCUGUCGUUUAAUAUAAAUGCAUAAAUAGAUGUUUUUUUAUAGAUAUUGCUUCUUUUGGGAUUGCAAUAAUUAAUAGAUAAUUUAAUUUUUCACUGAAAUGUUUCCCAAAAGUGUUUAUAGCGGUAAUGAGUGAAUUAAAAACGGGAUAUAAUAAUGUCGACGCAUUUAAUUUAUACCUGCAUUUUUAUGUAACAAUAAGAGGCCUUUUUGGGACUAGGUAGUUUACAUGGCUCCUCUUCUGUGCACGGUGGACCUAUGUCAACCUCUUCUUCGAUCUUCUUAGAAUUUGGCUCUGUGCAUUUCUUUCUUGGCUUCUUUUUUCUGGAGGGACAUGCUGAUUUAGAUUCUUCCCCAUUCAGACCCCAUUCAGUUUUCGAAUUUAGUACUCCAACAACUACGAAUUUGUGAAAAUAUUCUACAACGAUGUCCCGUAGAGAUAUUAUAAUUAUCGAUGUUAUUGAUUAUUUUUUAUAAUUAUUAAGCUGUGCUCGUCUGCAUGAAAAUGAAAUUUAUGUUAACAAAAUUUUCUAUAAAAUUAUUUUGCGUGUACAGUCGUCAAUACAAAAGGCGUGCAUUUACCACAAUCGAAUAAUUGACAGAAAAUACUUUCUUGUGAUGUAUCAUCCGUCAUAGUAGACGAUGGGAAAUGGAAUUCUUUCUCAGACAAAUAUCACCUAUUGCACAUUAUAAGCGCGAUAACGCUUAUCAAUGAAAUGUCAUGGCAUUUCAUAAUUUUUCUGGCAUGGCAAUGCCAAAAAUAAUGUAUCUACAAUAUUACUGAUAUUUUUGUCUGUGUAAAACGUACAUAAAUAAAGUGUAUAAAUUCUUGAAAAUAAAUCGCAAAUUCCAA